GAGUUACAAAGUGUUGUCUGAUCGUGACUUCACUGGACUGUUCGAACCUGCAAUUUAUACGGUGGCAGGAUAUGGAUGAUGUGAUUUACAAGCUGUACGCAAGGAGCUGUUUUUUGGGCAUUGUUAUCUAAGCAAUGACUGUCACUGUAUUCGUAUUGGUAAAUUAACAGCCGGUAGAGCAGCAGAAUUCAUGGGACGCGCUAUUCCAAGGUUCAAAACAGAUAAUGAUCAGCACGGACGCGCAGACAGUUUCACCAGAACAAGAGUAAGGAAGCGAGUAUGAGUGAAACUUGAACAUGGGAACUUGAGUGUGAUGAGCAACUGGAAAUGGACCGGAAAGAAAGCAGAAUUCUACACUGUAAAGGAAAGAAGCACUGAACAAGAGGAUUCAUCAGCAUGAAGGGGAAACACCAGAUAACAGAAAAGAAAGCAUUGGAAUUGAAUGAGGAAGUUCAACUCAGAAUGCAACAAAAAUGUGCUUGGGGCUACUUUAUUCUACACCUGUUGACAAAAAAAAGAACAUAUUGAAGGAGGACCUCAGGUGCUUAUACAAUAUUACCUAGUAUGAGCAUACCCUAAUUGCAACUGAACAAUAUCAACAAGUCUGCCUCCUGCUUGGACUUGAUUCAAUGCAUCCUUCUCUCUUUCACUUGCUUGGUUACAUCUUUCAAUUAGGAACUCAUUAGGCAUUUUAUUUGCAAUGAUAAUUUUUGGACCCUGGGAGGGUUAUACUCUCAUGCACUGAUCUAUUCAGACAUGUGGAACACUGGUUCAAAAUGUUAAGAUAUGUAUCUCUUGAUAUUUUACCUAACAGAAUCUUAUCGAUCAAGUCUUGAAUAUUUCAAUUUACUGAGCAUCCACAAUCUAUUGAGGGAAAAAAAAGUGUCAGAUUUUCACCGCACCAUGUGAGAAAACCAUACUGAUUCAACUCAAAAAUAGCCCAGCUCAUAUGACCUACCUUUUGAACACCUUUGUUGAGGAAUCGCACUAUUGAGAAAUUCUGGCUUUGAUACCACUGGUGACAUAUUUAAAGCCAGAUCAUGUAUUAGUUCAAAUACUUUAAGUCAGAACCCCGCACAUUUUGGGUACUUGAGUCUCCAAAUUUAAGACAUAGUCCAGAGAAAAUGAAAGCCUUUUUCCCACUUUGUGGAAAGACCUGGAGUUAUUGAUGAAUGAUGUAGUAGAGUGGAUAGCUGCUCUUUUUCUAGCUGAAGAAAUGAGACUGCAUCAUUACGUAUAGCAAGCCUGAUUUCACCUUGGGUCAGUACAGAGUCCCAUGAAAAUCAGGCAGAAGGUCAAUGAUCAUUUGAUUUCUGCCAAGGGUAAGUGCCACCAACACCUCUCCCAUUCAGAGUCACCAUUACUCUAACUCUUUCACUGCAACACUCAUCUCAUCAUGUUCAUGAACUACAACUAUCAGUAUUAUUUUCACCCAUCAGUUAUCAUCUGCCUUAUCCUCCCAAACUACUAAUUUUCCCUGUCCUCUGUUUAUCCUACUCACUUACUGAGGACAGCUCACCAAUUCCUCUGUUCAUGUGUGACUAUUAAUUGUUCUUCCAUCCACUUCCA